rnacentral:rRNA from 1 species
GUGGGGAAUAUUGGGCAAUGGGGGCAACCCUGACCCAGCAACGCCGCGUGAGGGAAGAAGGUUUUCGGAUUGGAAACCUCUGUCCUAUGGGAAGAAGGAAGUGUCGGUACCAUAGGAGGAAGCCCCGGCUAACUACGUGCCAGCAGCCGCGGUAAUACGUAGGGGGCGAGCGUUGUCCGGAAUUACUGGGCGUAAAGGGUGCGCAGGUGGCCUGACAAGUCAGAUGUGAAAUACCGAUGCUUAACGUCGGGGCUGCAUUUGAAACUAUGAGGCUGGAGUGCAGGAGAGGGAAGCGGAAUUCCUAGUGUAGCGGUGAAAUGCAUAGAUAUUAGGAGGAACACCAGUGGCGAAGGCGGCUUUCUGGACUGUAACUGACACUGAGGCACGAAAGCGUGGGGAGCAAACAGGAUUAGAUACCCGUGUAGUCC